CCUACGGGUGGCAGCAGUGAGGAAUAUUGGUCAAUGGGCGGGAGCCUGAACCAGCCAAGCCGCGUGAAGGAAGAAGGCGCUAGGCGUCGUAAACUUCGUUUGUCGGGGAACAAAGUGCGCCACUCGUGGCGUUGUGAGUGUACCCGAUGAAAAACCAUCGGCUAACUCCGUGCCAGCAGCCGCGGUAAUACGGAGGAUGCGAGCGUUAUCCGGAUUUAUUGGGUUUAAAGGGAGCGUAGAUGGGUUGUUAAGUCAGUUGUGAAAGUUUGCGGCUCAACCGUAAGAUUGCAAUUGAUACUGGCAGUCUUGAGUACAGUUGAGGUAGGCGGAAUUCGUGGUGUAGCGGUGAAAUGCUUAGAUAUCACGAAGAACCCCGAUUGCGAAGGCAGCUUACUAAACUGUGACUGACAUUGAUGCUCGAAAGUGUGGGUAUCAAACAGGAUUAGAUACCCGAGUAGUC
rnacentral:rRNA from 1 species